rnacentral:rRNA from 1 species
AUGAAGCUGGAAUCGCUAGUAAUCGCAGAUCAGAAUGCUGCGGUGAAUACGUUCCCGGGUCUUGUACACACCGCCCGUCACACCAUGGGAGUCGGAAAUGCCCGAAGCCGGUGACCCAACCAAAAGGAGGGAGCCGUCGAAGGCAGGUCUGAUAACUGGGGUGAAGUCGUAACAAGGUAUC